CUUUAUUGUACCAUCCUCCGAAACAACAGAGACUGGGCUCUGUUGGAGACAGGAUACUGGAUUAGAUUAGAUGCACCGCUGUUCUGAUGGAGUUUGGCAGCUACCACUUCAGUGAUAGAUCAGACUUCUUUUCUUGUGGGAUUUGCUUUUGGCAGCAACAGAUAUUCAGACUCUUUGGCUCUAGUUUAAACUGGAAAUAAGUGAUAAAUAAAGUGAAAGCAUUAAUAAUUGAACCCUCCAGUGGAAAUGCACAGGACAGAGACUCCAGUUCUGAUGUUCAGACAGAUGUUUCGAACACCACUUGGCUGAUUGCUGGAAACUUAUUGGACCUAAAAGUCACUUGUGCUCCCAGGCCUUUUCUGGCUGGGAGGAAUGGAUUAACAGCGGUGGGAAAGUUUUGUUUUAGACUGGGAAGGGACCAGCCUGCUGGAUACUGGAUCUGAUUUUUGUUCUUCCAUAUCAAGUGUUUGUGGAAGCCAAAGCUCUGGAUACAUGCAUUAAUAUAAAUCUAAAUAAAAUGAAAAUAUCAUGAAAAACAGUGCUCUUCCUGUAGGUUAAUUACUGGGU